AGAGGUUGCUAACUCUGUGCCAGCAGCAGCGGUAAUACAGAGACCUCAAGCGUUAUCCGGAUUUACUGGGUGUAAAGGGUCCGCAGGCGGAACAGCGGGUCAGGGGUAAAAUCUUCGAGCUCAACUCGAAACCCGCUCCUGAAACUACUGUUCUAGAGUUCGGAAGAGGCAAUCGGAAUUGCUGGUGUAGUCGUAAUAAGCGUUGAUAUCAGCAAGAACACCAAAUGCGAAGGCAGAUUGCUAGUACGUAACUGACGCUCAGGGACGAAAGCGUGGGGAGCAAACAGGAUUAGAUACCCUGGUAGUCCACGCCCUCAACGAUGCACACUAGGUAUUGGCAGUAUCGACCCUGUCAGUGCCGUUGAAAAAAGCUAACGCGUUAAGUGUGCCACCUGGGGAGUACGGCCGCAAGGCUAAAACUCAAAGGAAUAGACGGGGACCCGCACAAGCGGUGGAUUAUGUGGUUUAAUUCGACGAUAAGCGAGGAACCUUACCUGGGCUCAACUACUAGCUGCAUUGGGGCAGAAACGUCCCAAGCCUUCGAGGGUGCUAGAUAGGUGCUGCAUGGUUGCCGUCAGCUCGUGCCGUGAGGUGUACCGUUAAGUCGGGAAACGAGCGCAACCCACGUCGUAUGUUAAAUUGUACAUACGAGACUGCCUGCGCAAGCAGGAGGAAGGGGUGGAUGACGUCAAAUCAGCAUGGCUCUUACGUCCAGGGCUACACACAUAAUACAAUGGCCGGUACAGAGGGUUGCUAAGUCGCGAGAUGGAGCUAAUCCCAUCAAAACCGGCCCCAGUUCAGAUUGUAGGCUGCAACUCGCCUACAUGAAGUUGGAAUCGCUAGUAAACGCAUAUCAGCCACGGUGCGUUGAAUACGUUCUCGGGUCUUGUACUCACCGCCCGUCACACCAUGGAAAUUGGCAAUGCCCAAAGCCUCGUAAGGGGUUAAGGCAGGGUCAGUAACUGGGGUGAAGUCGUAACAAGGCAUCCCUAGCGGAAGCUGGGGAUG
rnacentral:rRNA from 1 species